ensembl:lncRNA
GACUUGUCCUGUCAGGCAAAUUGCUCUGACUGCAGAAGACAAAAGGCCAAGUACUGAAACAAAAAUACUGAAAACAGUCCAAACCCGCCUGCACUUAAAGAUUAUUCGCAUACAGGUACUGGGAGGAAACUUCUUUGUUUUACAGGCAACAGAUGGGUAGGAAAGGAAGAGCACAAAACAGAAAGUCAACUCUACAAUCCUAGAAAACUGUGUUGAUGAGGGAAUCUCUCAGAUGAGGGUAUGCAAAAUAGAAGUGACAAGUAUGAGCUGGGGCUUGCUCACUCUGACAUAAGUCAGGAGUAGGUGUCCAGGUGAGUGGAAGUUUUUUAAAGGCAAGAUCUGAAUCAGCCCCUUCACCUGAGGGAGGCAGGUAUCUAAGAUGCUGGUGACUGAUAGAAUAGUUACCAAGUUAUGAUAAAGGUGAGUAAUGAUUUUUAUGUCAUUCUUCACAGACUGUCUUCAUAUCCUCUUCUGUACCAUACAAGCAAGAGACCUGCUAUUCCACAAAGCACCCAAAUACCUCAGUGCUUUUUAUAACAAACUGAUAUGAACCCAUGCUACUCCUGUCAGCCUGUGAAAGACUGACUCUAGAGCAGGUGUAGGUUUCUUCAGUAGAGCUCUUGGCCACUGUUAGUAACAGUAGUAGGAAGUCCUGAAUUGCAUGUCAAUAGCAGGCCUUCAGCAACCUCAAAGGGUUUUUACCCCUCCCUCACUCGCCAUGUUUUAUGUGGACUAACUGGAAGAAAUCACUUCUUUGACCUUCUCUCACAGUCUAAAUAGAUAUGAGUCAUUAAAAUAUUUAUUAAAGGAGGGGAGAACAAAGAGAGGGAAAAAAAGCUGAAGUUAUAAUAAUGUUAAUAAAAUAGUCAAAAGAACAGAAUUCAGGGAAGGUAGAGAAAACAGCAUGUACUUUAUUUCAGCUGCCUUCUGGUCUGGUUUAUCCACAUGAAUGUAUAGACUGAUGGAGAAUGAAGGAAUAAUGCUUAGUACAGUCAGGCUCUGUGUCACAGGGUGUUAAACAGGAGUAAAACACUGGGUCAGUGACAGUACCUCUGAAACUGCCUCUAGCCCAUUCCUGCACCUCUUACGGAGAAUAUAUCCUUAGGCAAUUUGCUACACAAUUAAAUAUUGCAGUUAUGCAUUCGUAAACUGCCCAGUUGCUAAAGCUGCAGUGUGGGAAAUGGUGAGCAGAAAUCUAUAGUAAAGUGACAACGUAAUGUAAUCCUGCACUUUACAGGAAGGUUUUGGAUAAAAAACUGUUUCCAAAUCCCCACUGAAAGGCACAUAUAUGAUAUAUGUUGCAAAGUAAAUCUCUCCUUUCUCAGUCAGUAAAUUGAUGUUAACAUCAGUGCUAUACUGCAGUUAAUAAGUACACUGAAAGAUUAGGUGCCCUGCGUGUGUUAUGUGAGUUGAUUUAUUCAUUUAUUUAUUCAUUCAUUCACACAGUAUUUGCAGAUUAACACAUUUGUCUUUCCUAAAUCAACUGCGUAACACUUCAGAUCUUUAGUUUCUUUACAGUCUAUCUACAAAUAAUUGCUUCUUAGAGUCUGAAAAAAAAGUACAGUGGCAAAUCUGCAUUUUGAAGACACUUGAAAGUUGGCAUUGAGAUGUCAGAAAAGGUGCUGAUACAACUUUGGUACAGAUUUUGCUAGGAAACUUAUCAGAACCAUACAGCAAUGAAGGCUUUAGCUCAAAUUGCAUUUGUUAAGAAUUCAGUGGCUAAAUAUUUCAAAUUUUCCUCUGUACCAAGCACGUUUUGCCAGCUCACAAAUCCUCCUACACUACAGACAGUAGAGAAAAGUAUAGGUUUUUAGAGAACAGCUGAUCCUGUUUCAGAGGUGAGCAGAACUUCCCCUCUAAUUCUGCUUCCAUAUUGUUAGAAGCUGUUACGAUUUAAGGUGCUGGAUUUGAACGAGAGAAAGCUGUUUCUCCUUCCUCUCGUUAUUUCUCUCCUAGGAGCCCAUGUCUUCCUGGAGGGGGGGGGGGGGGGGGGAAGGAACAAUGCAAUUAGACUGUGAGAGCUUUCAUAUCUUACAUGGACUGCAUGGUGGAGAAAAGGUGAAAGGAAAGCGGUUGCUGGAGGAGUCAGUGAUAGAAGGGAAGGGGAAGAGUGGAGGCUUUGUAACUAUUCAGCUCCUCAGCAGUGUUCUGCUAUCAGCAAUAGCUUUGAAAACCAUACUCAGAAUGGGUCUCAGAAAUGAAAAAAAAAAUUAGCAGACAAUAGUGAUACCAGAAGGUACAAAGAGGUCCAUACUAUGAGCAUGAAGGAUCUAGUUGGGCAUUUAUGGUUGAUUUUGUUUUCUUGACAAAGGCCAAUUUGUUGAAUAUAUCUUACACAGCAAGAGGGCUUGCUUUCAGAUGGUUUCCACAAAGCAAAAAGUUUGAGGAAAAGAGCUACAGAAUGGUAAGUGCCCACAGUGACAUUUUCAAAAUUGAAAAUCUUGGUAUUAUGGCAUGUCACAAGCUUUCAUCUGAAAAUGCAAGCUAACCAUGAUAAAAAAAGAAACUAAAAUGAUCAGAAACAAAAGGAAAAAGUUCAAAAUUAUACAGAAGGCCUGCUUCAAUUCAAUAAGAAUCAUGUAUUUAACUUUCAGUCUAAGAGAAGUGUGGCAUUUCAACUUCUAAACCCUCUUUGUGGUGAAUAUUUUCUUUCAUUUAACUGGGAUAAUUUUCUUAAGAGAGAAAAAAAACAUCUGUUUCCCCCUCCUUCCAGCUGCAGCUUUGCCCUUUUACAUUUCUGUGUGUCAGAUCUUUAUACAAUGGGUAGCGUUUCAAUGGGAAAUAAGGGGGAUGGAACUCAAGGGUUUCAUUUGCUCUUUUAGCAGAAAAAUCCCUCUAAAAAUCUAUUAAAUGUUAUGGUCAUAAAAUCAGAGGCCCAGAAUACAUGAAAUGCCAGGAUUUGAAUGUCCUUUCAACCUUAACUCAGCCAUUUUCUGCUUAGAAACUACAAUACAGCUUUUUCAUUUUUAUGAUCACCUUCUUCUUUCCCCAGAGCCUCAUAGUACAUAAAUAGGUAUUUUCUGAGUGAAUAGUUUUUCACUAUUGUGCAUUAUCACCAUCAUUUAACAUGUUUGCUUUGACACUUUGUCUGGAUUGAUGCCCCAAGGUCCUAUUUAUGCAGUCUUUCCUUUGAAAGAUGUCCAUUUGCUAUUUGUUGUUUGCAUCCUUUUUAAGACUCUAAAAUCAAAAGGUCAUAUUCUGAAAGAAAAAAAAUUCCCUAUAAGUUUGCAAUAUACAGUCAUCAAAUUUACCUGGAAUUCUGACAUUUGAAUUGUAGACAGUAAUCUAACCGCUUAUAUUUGUAUCUCAUAUAUUUAAAGGCAUAAGCCAACAAAUUAACUAACUCCAUAAUAAAAAGACUUGGGUUUGCCUGCUAAAGAAAGCCACAACAUUUUGGUUUUCAUGGUGGCAUUGUUGAACCCUCACUAUGGUACCUGGAGUCAGCAUCAUAAAAAUUUUUGCUUUGAACUUCAUUUUUUUCUUUCCUUGGCCAGUACUGUCAGGAAACUUCACCUUCAUUUUAUAGUCUAAAGGGAUGAAAUAUCCAAGAAUUCCAUAAGGCGUGCAUCCAAGAGAAGCAAAGAAACUUUUCAAGCAACAAUAAACCAGAGUAUUUCAAAUAAAACAAAAUACACAGAAAUCUGUGUCUUGAUGGUGGGAAAGACUUUACAUACCAUUCUCAGAAUGUGAAUAUACACCCACCUCCUUUUUCACCAGUUCCUUUUCCCAAAACUAAGCUGUAUUUCAUUCAGGUUGUUUUAGAGGUUUCCAGAUAAUGUUGCUCUCAAAUCUGUCACAUUUGGAAUGCAGUGGUUCAUGAAUGACCUUUUUGUUAUGUUCACUAAGCAAGUAGGAUCUCAAUCCAAGCAGAUUCUUUGGCUUUGGCUCACUCCACUCUCCCCUAUGCUCUAAACAAACCACUUCCCUAGGCUCAGAGGGCCAUAACUUUGGUUGUUUGAAAAACUCAUUUAACGCAAUUGAUUGUAACAUUCUCCCUCUCUUUUCCCCCAGCCAUAACUUCCUGAUUGCUGUUCAUCUGUACCAGAUGUGUGCUUUACAUUUCCAAACUAUAUAAAUGCGUUGCCCCAAAUGGCUCUCUCUCUUCCCAUGUGCUGCAUAUUUAUAUUUAUAGUAGCAAGCUAACUUGUAAACUACAGCAUCUAUUUAACUUCAGAUCUAGAAAAGAAAUGGGGAAUUCCUCUCUGAGAGGUGCAAUUCAUGCUGCUGGUAGCCAUAUCAAUCUUCAGAAAAAUCUGAGUACAUAAGUUGCACAAGGAGGAGUUAGAGUGAUCUCCAAGGAAAAACUGAGGUAUGCAGAGAGUAAUUGUACUUACGAAGCAGAUGUUACUCUUUGCUUCUAAUCAGUACUAAAGCCAUACGCUACCAUGGUGCAAAGGUGACAGUGUUGACCUGGGUGUCAUUCUUCUAAUGAGCUAAUCAGCAAUGACAGUUAAAACUUUUCAGUGCAAUCUGCUGCUCAGUGGGAGUUUAAAGCGGCUUGUGUGUGUGCAUGUCUACUUUCUACAGCAUUUCUUCUGAGAAAUAAGCAGAAGCCAAAAAUGGUACAUUAAUAGAAAUAAGGAAAAAUUCUGUUAAAUCCACCUUCUUCAUUUUCCUGUCUAGUAAGAAGGGAAUGGUGACUAUGUCUUUCAUCAAGGGACAUACUUUAAUAUAUUUCCACGUGUACAAAAGUGAUGCAACCUGCUCUUGGCAGGAGGGUUGAAACUAUGCAAUCUUUGAGAUUCUUUUCAACCCAGGCCACUCUAUGAUUCUAUGAUUUUAUGAAGAUGCAGCCUGUGCAUGCACAGAGAUGCUGUGUAAGUACGAGGAGAUUUUGUCCAUUAUAUAGACUUUAGAACAUAUCCUUAAAUUCAUCUUGGUGUUUUCUACAAGUCCAAGGGAAAAUUUCAGCUUGCAUUUAUAACUCUGAUCCCUACACAUACACAGAUGGAAUUUCCAUCAGUUUGGAAGUUAUUUUAAAUUUUAAAAAGAUGAGAUAUUUCCCUUUAACAAAACAUAUGCUGUGACUGCAGUUGCCAAAUUUUCUGGUUUUAAUGUACAUCUACUCUUCUGAAAAUUCUAGCCCCAGGAAUUAUGCCAUUAUGUUAAAUACUGGACUAAAACAUAAAAACAUUGAUUUAUCUCAUUACACAUUAAUCUCAUCUGAAACUUCCCUUUCGCAUGAUUCUGAGGCGUAGUGUAUCACCUGGCACCAAAGUAAGAAAAUUUGGUGGCUCAUCAACCCAAGAGCAGCAACAUUCCAGACUCUUGACUAACCCAGCCAUACACCUUUAGCUCUUAAGGAAGAACAGAGUAGAUGCUGUUGAAAACUUCAAGACUGCAAUAAUUUUGUCCUGAAAAUGUCUAUACUAAGCUGCAUUUCCUCCACUGUUAGUCUCUCUUUUUUUUUCUUAAUUUUUGUGUUUCUUUUUUUCAGGUUAAAAAAGCGAUCAUAUUAAUGACUCAGAACUGAAAAAAUAACUAUUUACUGUUUAAAACUGCUUAACAAAAUAAGAAGCUUUAAUAAUUAUUUCCAGAAAAGAGUCUCAAAAUGUUUUUAGUGCAUUUGUUUUGAAAACAAAUAAGCAAGCAAAACAAAACCAAACAAAACCCCUGCAUUUCAAUUUCUAGUUAAAUUAUAUCCAUUUUCACUUGAACAAUUUAACACAUUUUCAGUUUCAGCACCAGUGCUGUUAUAGCACUUAUUGAGCAUACUGGGCUAUCAUCUCAAGCCCCAAGGCUAUGACAACAUAUUACAAUAACAGAGCUAUGAUAACACUUAUAGCUUUCCAGGUCCACUUAUGCCAUCAAUAUUCAUCUGGUAUUGUGUAUAUCCCUGUGUGUGGCUGUACUUCUGUGCCUAUAUCUCUUGAAUCCAUUAAGCUGCUCUGAUUUGAAAGUCAAAUGUGGCAGCUGCAAAGUGAAUGUAGAUAGUAUGGAAGAGAAAAUCAUGUAAAAAAUGCAUACCAAAAGAUCAAAUCUUAAGAAAGACAUAUUAACUCAUGAACAUUCUGCAGUUUUGAAUGGGUUCUUGUCAUCUCCUGUCCUUGCUUGCCAUAGAGUUUACAUGCAGUUUUUAAGUAGGUUUCCUAUUUCAUUAUUAAUAAUGCAUUUUGUUAGUAAGUAAUGAGACUAUCAUGGAAAUCAAAUAAUUCAUUGCAAAUUUAUCAAUCUCACAACAUGUAGAUAGAGUGAGGGGACUUGGUUUGUUGUUGAUGCUGUUUUUAUAGCUUAUUCAAUUUGUAGAAAUAUUUCUGAGAAAUACUAGAAAGUGAAAAACAUGAGGAUAAGAAACCCCAUAAACAUUCCUGCCUGUCCCAGUGGCUGUACUGACCCCACUUUGUGACAGUGUGCUCUCCCUGACACUCCCCCGCCCCCCAGCUCCUUCUCCACCCUUUCUUUCCCUCAAUUCCCUCCUUGGACCUGCCCUCACAGACAAGGCCUUACACAGUGGAAAAAUGAGCAACAACUCCCAAAUCUGUGGGUGAUGUCUGACUAGAAGGAUGGGGACAGCUGACUAGCGGCUAUUUUCCCUGCCCCUUCAUCCACAUUUGUGCACCCCCAGCAGUCAGAAUACACCAUUCCAAAGAAUAAUUGGAUUUUCUCAGCUUCUCAAGGAAGCUCUAGAGACAUUUUUACUUUCAGUAAUUUUUAUUUUAACCAUUAUUGGUAUAUUUUCCUCAAAGUCCAAGAUUCUGUGGUAUUGGUGGCAGACACAAGCCAAGGUUCAAUCCUGUGCCUUUCUUUUUAUACAUUCACUCUUCUGCAGUAUAAAACAUCUGUACACUUUGUGUGCAGAGAUGAGUAAUAAUUUAUUCUAAGUACUUCACCUCCUCUUCUAAUUCUGAACUAUCUGUAAGUUCGUAUACAAGUGGCUUUGGUAAAUAAAUCUGGCAAUUGUUUCAUGAAGAAAUGUGCAAACAUGGAAUCUUUGAGAAGUAAAUAUUUUAUUAUAUUAAUAUAUGUUAUACUAUAUAUCAUAAUAAUAUAUAUUAAUAUAAUAAAUGUAAUAAAUAUAUAUUAUAUAUGUAAAUAUAUGUAAAUACAUAUAAAUGUUUAUAUAUGUAUUUAUAAUUUUAUAUAAAUAUAUAUAAUAAAAUAUAUAAUUAAUAUUUAAUAUUUAAUAUAAUAAAUGUUAAUGUUUUGCCAACAUCUCAAAGAGGUCCAUGAUCUGGGUCACUUCAUUUUAGUUACUCUGGUGUUGCUCAUGAGCAAAAGUAUGAAGAAGAAAAAAAAAAAAAGACAGACCACAGUCAGCAGAGUGGUAGAAUAAUUUCUGGUUUUCAACCAGUUUUCCUGAAAGCUGAAAAAAGAAGGAUUUUGUGGGAAGAGAGAUACCUUCUUUGGCAAAGAAAUGUAAACAAAGAUAUAUAUGUAAGAGAGUUGCUUUAGUACAGUGUGGUCUUCUGAUUUAAAAACUCACAAUAUUCAAUAUCAGCAGAGCACACAGCAGAUCAGUAAUUAGCUAAGUGACAUACCUAAACAUAGCUGGUUAAUAAUGAAUUCUUCUGUAGGUCAUGUUGCCAAGCGAAAUGUUAUACAACAUUUUAGUGAUGGUCUAGGAGGAAAUGUGAAGCUGAUGACUAAAUAUUCAGACAACACAAUGACAGGAAAAGUAAGAAAUAAUGAGAAACUAUUUGUAUCAUAGAGUAAACUGGACAUGGUCUGACAGAGUAGACUGUGGAAAGUCUGAAGUCCACAGAUGAACAGAAUACACUAUUUCUGUUAUUUAUUCAGAAAAGCAACAUCGAAGUCAUUGGGAAACUACCCAUCUUGUUUUCUCCUUAGGUAUUUAGGUUUUAAAGAUUUCUAUUCUGAUAAGAACAGAUUCACAAAAUCUGCCUAUUUUUUGCAAUUAAGUCCCUAAAACUGUAAAAUCAAUUAAAGCAAUCUGUUUCAUUUCUGUUCAUAACAUAACACUCUCUUCAGCUGCCUAAUUAUCCUUCCUAGCUGGGCUUACUACUGCCAUUAAAUGGUAGAGGUUUUUGAAACUAAAUUUUAUCUACACAUAACUGCCACUUCAAACUCAGUUUGUCCUUCUUAAAUUAAAUAAAGUUUUAGAAAAGUGCAUUUUUCAUAACUGAAUUUUUGCUAAAGGUCAAGCAUCUACUGAAAUGUUUCAGUGGUCUGUCCACAUCUGUGGACAGAAAUUAUUGAAUUCCACUUUUUUUUUUCCUACCAUAAAUAAAUUAUUUAGUUAAAACACUGGAUAAGUACUGGAAAGUGAUCCAAACUAAAAGGUUUUUUUUUUUUUUUUAAUUGCAGAAAAUUUUGUUACUUCAUUACAAAAAAAAAUGAUAAUAUAUCUCUGUAACUAUUGAUUUAAGCACUUCAGUACAUUAUUGCACUGGUUUUAUACAACUGAGAAAAAAUGCUUCUGUGUUCUUUCUUCUAGUGUUCUCAAGUGAUCCUUUAGUAUUUAUUACAAUUUACUAGUCUUUCAAGGACCAUUAUGGAAUUUAAAGCAUAUUGGCAUGGUUCAAAUAAGCUAUUUGCUCUUCUUCCAUAACCUGGAGACUUCCUGUUACUGGCUACAUACUGUGAAAAUAAAUGGCAAUUUUGCUUUACUAUUAUUCAUUGGGUCAUAAUACUCAAAGUUAAUGUGUGCUGUGAUAACUUAUUUAUGAAAAACAUUCACAUAUCUUGAAAGUGUCAUAAAUUUUAACACACAUAAUUUGCUCAUUAAUUCAUACCAUAAAGCAUGGUUGUUCUUUAUUCAUUCUUCAUCAUGCAUCUCUCUUUUAAAAUCUUUCAUUCUGCCAAUGUGGAAAAAAACAAUACAGCAUUUGCCAGUGACCAGUCACAUUUAUGACUACAUAAAAAGUUAAAUUCUUCUAUAACCCUAUCAACAAAUAUUUUCUAUCCCCUACAGAAUAGAAUUAACAUUUGCAAAUUAUUAAUCUGCAGUGCAGCUCAUUUUGAAAAUCAUUCUACAAGAAGGCUAAGUGUAUAAUACUAUUUAUUCCAAGAAAAUAAAUCAUAUGAUUCUAUUUAACACAUCUCAAGAAGUAGAAGGUAAGUGGAAAUAUGCAUUAAAAUUCUUGACUACAGUCAUGGGAGCGGUAACUCUUACAAAGACCACAGACUUGAUAGUCAUACGAAUUUCCUGUAUAAAUCUGUACACUUCAAAUAUAUUAUUCCCUCUUAAUCAUCACUGUAAGUGCCUUACUGGUAGAGAAUUUUAUCUUGAUUCUGAUCACCGCUACUGAAAAUGUCUUCUUUUUAAGCCUUGUCCUUGCUGUUUCCUGAAAUGAGAUGUUAAUAUACAGGUUUUGAAGUUUCUCACUUGCCUUAACGUUUUGAUUGGGAUCUUAAAGUAGCAACUAAGUAUUCCUAGUGCAUUAUUCAAAGUAAGACAAUCUCAGAUUCUCAACUAACCUAUUUUGUGACUCUCCUACUUUUUUUUUCCUUAGGUAUCUAUUGUUUGAAAGCUGUAAAAGGUGGGAAAUUAUCCUUCAUUUGCCUAAGAAAAUGCUGUGUUACCAGAACCUAAUUCAUUUUUCAGUAAGAUGGAGGCACCUUUGUUUUGAGUCAAUGUAUUCAUUAUGUCCAUAAAGUGCAGAACUUCUGUAACAGCCAAACACUUAAAGCGCUGCUGCCAUUUACUCAGGUUCACUUAACGUACUACUGAGUUAUUGUUUCUUCUUUUAAUUUGCGUGGUUCCUGUCUUGCCAAACUCUUUUGCAUACACAAGCAGUGGUGCAUAUGUAUGAAUAUAUUUGCAAAGACCUGUAGACCGCACACUUGAAAUAGCUUAGCAUUUGUUUGCUUCCUCUUCCAUUAAAGCCAAUGAUGAAUCCUUUCAAAAAUAUCCACCCACCAGUUCAGUGUGUUUUGCAUUUUUCUAAUUGGCAAGUCAAUAACAGAGAAAAACAACCUUCUGCUGCAUUCAUCUAGUGCAGUCUACUACUCUGUCAAACCAAAUGGCUGAAGCCUCUGCUCCGUUGUUUGAGGUUCCAGGUUCAGCUGCCAGCAAAUUACUUAUUAUGAGGCUCAUUAGUUACAAGAUUAUUUUUCUGAGAUGAAGACAAAGUAAAAUAUAUCUGUUCAAACUCAUUAACUCAAUUAGAUUUUUAGAGAAUUGUACUUUGGCAGAUGAGCUGUGAAAAAAAAUAAUAGUGUUUUCAGAAGCUGGGCCACUUGCUUUUAGAAGAGCCAGAGACCUCUGAAAAUACUACACCAGAAACCUCCAGAGGGAAGUCAACCGUGCAGAAAACCAUGGGCAGGCACAUUAUCUUCAAAACUCAAGAGACCAACUCAGUGGCAACUUCUUUUCCAACAGAUCAUAUGGAACAUUUUGUAUAUUGCAACCAACUGUAGUGGGAUGUUUCUCACUUUCAUAGAAAUCUGCCUAAAUUUCUCAAUAAUAUAUUGCAUCUGUUCAUUGAGGAACUUUCUGUAAGAGUAGUUUCAUAGCAAAAAUAUUUGUACAAAACCAGAACAAUCAACUACUAGGAUAACCUUAUAAUGUACAAAUGGUGAUUAUCACCUCCCCAACACUCUUCUGUCUUUCAUCUUUCACUGUUUCACUCUGCAGUUGCUUAUGUACAAUAUUUUAUUUAGUCUAGACACUGUUAAGACAACAUGAUUCCCCUUCAGAAGGUCAUACAAGUACAUAAGCUGGUGCCUCAAGCUGCAGUUUUGAAUUCUACCUCUGUUACAGAUUGGCUAUGGUACACAGUACUAGAGUACUUUGUUCAGAAUAGGAUUGUCAAAAUUGUAGUAAUAAUGACCUUAACAAGGUCUGCUUUACUUCAGAACCUGAGAAAAUGGUAUGCAUAAUAAAAACCACUGUAGAAAUAUAAGUCAUACAAUACAUUAUUUCUAUCAUAUCUGUACAAAUCCUUUCUGCUGUGCCCCUUUCUAAAUAAUACAUGUUUAUCUUCAUUGAUGGCAUAUCAAGGGACACUUUUAUCAAUGGUCAGUUUUAAAUAAAGUCACAAUCUAACUGUAUUUUAAGAAAGGCUUAAAUUUAAAAAUGCCUAUAUAAGCAUUGAUGUGAUGUUAUCCAUCUUGUUUGCAGGUGAAAAGUGCAAACCUUAUAGGUAGACGUAUGAAAUUAGAAGUACUCAUUUCUAUCAGGAAACUUACUUAUAGAAUUAAUGCAAGUGGGCAUGUUGAUACCACUGUAGGAUACUGAAAAGUACUAAAGCAGACACAUUUUUAAGGAUAGGUUGACAUAGAAGGGAAAAUACUAAGUGGUCACUUUUUUCUUCAGUUCUUGGUUACCCUUGAUGUACAAGUUUGACAGCAUAUUCUUCACUUCCUCUGUAACUGUUGUGCAACAUAAACAUGCCAAACUGUGAGCCCAUAUGAUUGUCAUUUUUGACCUUUUCCUCCUCCCUUUUGAUAUUCUUCAUUCCCACGAUAUCAUCAAUAUCCAAAGGAAUGAAGCAGAAACCCACAGUCUACAUAUCCCUGUAUUCACAGCUUGGCACUUCAGCAUCUGUCUUCCACAGCACUAGCAGAUGGAUUCAUUUACCAAAAUCGUUGUUGGUUUCAGUUCUCAACCAGUCUGUCAAAACAUACUCAGCUUUCUGGAAAGGGAGGCCUGCAUAAUUUAUUUUGUUCGUGUAACAUGGAAGAAAGGGCACUUAGCAUUCUAUCACAAAAAUUUGAAUGUUUUUCCUAGUAACGUGAGAUACCAUAUAGCUCCACCCCUUGUCCUGUUUAUUUGUGGAUUAGGAGUUAGAGAGAAAAAUGUUCACAGUUACUCUCUCAAAAUCACGCAUAACUAUUCACAGAAUCAUAGAAUCAUUAAGGCUGUAAGAGAUCUCCAAGAUCACCUAGUUCAACAGUCAACCCAUCACCCUCAUGCCCAUUAAACCAUGCCCCUCAGCUCUAUAUCUAUGUAUUUUCUGAACACUCCCAGGGACAGUAACUGGGCAACCUUUUCGAGCCUAUCACCACAACCUGAUACAAAAUUUUUUCCUAAUACCCAACCUGAACCUUCCCUUGUGCAACUUAAGGCAUAAUUAAAUUAAAUUAAUUAAGAUAAAUAAUUACUUCUCAUUCUAUUGCUGUUAUCUGUGAGAAGAGGUUGACAUCCACCUCACCACAACCUCCUUUCAGACAGCUGCAGAGAGCAAUAAGGUCUCCCCUGAGCCUCCAUAUCUCCAGACUUAACAAUCUCAGUUCCCUCAGCUAGUCCUCAUAAAACUUAUACUCCAGACUUCUCACCAACUUUGGUGCCCUUUUAUGGACAAACUCCAGGGCCUCAGUGUUUUUCAUGUAGUGAGAGGCCCAAAACUGAACACAGUACUUAAGGUGCAGCCUCACCAGUGCCAAGUAGAGAGAGAUGAUCACCCCUCUGGUCCUGCUGACUACAUUAUUUUUGAUACAAGCCAGGAUGCCGUUGGCCUCCUUUAACACUUGGGCACACUGCUGGCUGAUGUUCAGCUGGCUGUCUUCCACUGAUUGCAAGAGACUUACAUGCACUGAAAAUUAGAUGAGGUUACAAAGGAGGAGUACAGAAUCACAGCAGAGACAUAUACGGGUAAAUUUAGACAAGUCAUGACAGAAGUCACUACUACCAAGGAACACUAAAAGAUACAAGAAAUUUUCUACAUGUUUGUUAGUAUUAUGUGGAAGACCUAGGAACAGAUUACCCUUUCUUUCCAAGGACAGAAAUCAAAAUACACAUUGCUUCAUGAGUUUUAAUGUCUAUUUUGCUGUCAUAGAUAAUUGCUAUGAGGCAGCUAUCAUUAAACCAAUGAUAAAAGGGUAGUAACUCAAACUCAAAUAUGCAAAGGAACUAUUUAGAUAAUAAUUAGAUAUGUUAGAAGUUUUAUCAGUUGUGCUUGAGAAAAAAAUGACAGAAAGAUAAACUAUGGAGAUUUCUAAAGUAUUACUAUGGAAAUUACAUGUUGAAACCACUGAAGAGUGAGUGAGCUCUCAAAACCCUGGAAAAUUGCACGUUCCAUUGGUUUGGGCUUUUUAAACUGAAAAAAAAAAAAAAAAUGGAGGAGGAUAGAUAUUUAUAGAAUAGUCAGCUUAAUUUUGACUCCCAGAAAAUUUAUCUGAGCCAAGCUAAAAACUCAUGAAUAUGUAGAUGAUAACAAGCACAGAGUUAAUGGUCAAUGUGGUUUUGGAAAGAGCAAAUCACAUUCAGGGAAUUUAAUUUUCUUUCCAAAAUAAAACAAAACAAAAAGGGGCAGGGAGUUCCUUAUUCCUAUAAGGAACCAUUAGAGGUUACUCCUGUAAAAAUAAGUGACAUCUUUAGCAUGGAUUGAGUCACUGAAUGCACACAGACCAAUGCAGCAACUUUGCAGGACCAGAAUGCUUGACAGUAUGUUUAGCAAAGUGGCAAAUUCAGCUUCUGCUGCAACCACUAAUAUGGAUGGACAAGUGGAGAGAGUUUGAAGGCAUCUUCCCUCCGCAACAGGAAAACUCAACAGUAACAGAACUGUCAAGGGAAACCAAGAGAAACCAAGAUAUUUCUAACUAAAAGCAUGGUUUAAUUCUAUAAUUAGAUAAGAUUUGAUCCAUAGAAAAAUCACACAUGAUCAAAGUCCAUAGAAUUAUACUAGUAUGAAAAUAAUAAAUGUCCAAUGAAAAUCAAGUCUAAACCAAACUGUAGCCAAAACAGAGAUAUGUGAAACCUAUGGAUUCAAAAUGUAGUAAUUAGAAUAUACUUCAACUGCAUUAUUAAAGAGUGUAGUGCUCGUGAAUGACAUUUAAAGCAGAAUAUGUUUCCAUAUUGAGUAUUCUCCGUUUCUAUCUGUGGUUUUGUAUCUGAUUUUUUGCACAUUCCUCAUCACCUUGUUUGCUGUGGCCCAUAAUGUAGAACAAAGUUUUGUGCCUCUUCACAAAUACACAAGAAAACAUCAAAUUCGCUUCCAUCUCCAGCUGAACUAUCAGUUCCAGUCUGUGGUCAUCAUUACCCUCAGAAGCUGUGACUGACAGACUAGGUUGAUGUUUCACAGAAAAGCUAUAGUGAAAACAGGCAGCUUGAUGUACAGGGUGGGAACUCUCUAUGUGGCAAUUUCUUAGAUGGUCAGAUCUGCACAUUCUCCCUGAAGAUAGCCAGCUGGAGUUAAAAAAAAAUAAUAAAUCCAAGAAUCUACUUCACGUACAACUCCUGGCUCAUCAAAGGCAAUACCUCCUGUCAGACUACCACACUUUCUCUCAUUAGCUUGCCACUGACUGAGAAGCUCAGCAACAAUAUACAAUCUGUACCUACUGCUUCUGUUUAUUUUCCUUUUGUUUGAACAAUGAGAGGAUAUACAUUACACCAAGACUUGAUUUUGUAGCACUGCUAAAUCACACUUGAGGGAACAAUGAAAACAGUGCCUGUUUAAUAAAUAUAUGUUGAUAUUUCAUAUCUAAUUGCUUCCAAUGGGAUCCUAAAUGUAUCCCAUGAAAGAGAGGGAAUAUAUAAGUCACAAAAGCUAGAGAACAUCUGACUGAUGUAUAUAACUCUCAUGUGUCAUGGUUAAACCUCUGGAGCAACAGUUCUUCCUGUCACUUUGCUACUGUCCUGGCUUCAGCUGGGACAGAGUUGAUUUUGUUCGUACUGUGUGAUAUGAUGCUAUGUUUUGACUUCAGGAGAAAAACAAUGUUGAUAUCACAUUGAUGUUUUAGUUGCUAAGCAGUGCUGUACAGAGCCAAGGAUAUUUCAGUUUCUCAGCUUCUGAGCUUCUCCUGUUGUAUUGCCCAUGAGAAGGCUGGGGGGGGGGGGGGGGAGGCACAAAGAGUUGUGAGGGAACAGAACUAGGAAAGCUGAUCCAAAGUGGCUGAAGGAAUAAUCUACACCAUAUGACAUCACGUGAAAAAAACAUGAAACUGAGAAGAGUUGACCAGGCAGGCAGCCACUGCUCAGGGACUGGCUGAACACUGGUCAGUAGGUGGUGAGGAAUUGCUUGUGCAUCACUUGUUUUCUGCAUAAAUAUACAUAUAUAUAUAAUUAUUGUUACCAUUGUUCCUCCCUUCUUAGUAAAUAGUUUUUAUUUCAAACCACAAAUUCUAUUUUUUUUUCUAUUUUCCCCAUCACAAUGGGAGGGGUGAGAGUGAGCAAAAGGCUGUAUGGUGUUGAACUUUGCUGGGUUAAAUCACAACAGCUACCAACUGCUGCUCCCGGAUAGAUGAAUGAAUGAGAGGAAAAAAGGACAAGCUCAAGGAGCAUCUGGCAAAAAGAAACAUAAGUGGCAAUGAAAAUGAUACAAAUUAAAGCAUAAAGGAAUUUUACAUUUCCAAACUACUUGACAAAUGUCUCAUUUCUAUAAACAUAUACGGACACAAAGGGUAAUAAAUCCCACAGUUCUUACACGAACACAUCUUACUCAUGCUAGGCAUGCUCAGCUUUUUAUUUACUUACACACAAAAAUGUCAAUUUAUAAACUUUCACUUUCUACAUCUGCAUGCUACAGAACAGGCUGUGUCACAGGCUUCUGCAAAUGCACUAAGUCCCAGGUGUUAGGUCUUAUUUCAAGGCUAAUGCAGUUUUUUGACUGUUUAAUGCCAUUUAUAUUUCCCUCUGUCAAAAGUGUAAAAUCUCUGCUACUUUCCCAAUUUCCAGUUUAACUGAUAGUGACUCAGACUCGCAUCGUUCAUAGAAUCGUAUAAUCACCAAGCUUGGAAAAGACCUCCAAGACCAUCCAGUCCAACUUACAAUCAAUAUUUCCCCACUAAACCACGUCAAUUAGUACAACAACUAAAUGUUCCUUGAACACCUCUAGGGAUCGUGACUCAACCAUCUCCCUGGGCAGCCCGUUCCAGUGCCCAACCACUCUUUCAAAGAAGAAAUUUUUCCUAAUGUCCAACCUGAACUUCCCCUGGUAAAACUUGAGACCAUUCCCUCUAGUCCUAUUCCUAGUAAUAUAGGAGAAGAGGCUGAUUCCCGCCUCAACCACAGCCCCCUUUCACGGAGUUGUAGGGAGCAAUAAGGUCUCCCUCAAGCCUCUUCCAGACUAAACAAUCCCAGUUUCUUCAGCCGCACCUCACAAGACUUGUGCUCCAGAACCCUGACCAGUUUCAUUGCCCUUCUCUGGACAGUUCA